rnacentral:tRNA from 1 species
CCGCGGGAUGGUCCGGUUCCGUCAGGGUCGCCUUCGCCUCCGGGGUGAGGUUGAACCGGCCGUUCUCGUGCUCGGCGAGAUCCGCCGCC